rnacentral:rRNA from 1 species
UUUACAACUCCCAAACCCCUGUGAACAUACCUUAAUGUUGCCUCGGCGGAUCAGCCCGCGCCCCGUAAAACGGGACGGCCCGCCAGAGGACCCAAACUCUAAUGUUUCUUAUUGUAACUUCUGAGUAAAACAAACAAAUAAAUCAAAACUUUCAACAACGGAUCUCUUGGUUCUGGCAUCGAUGAAGAACGCAGCAAAAUGCGAUAAGUAAUGUGAAUUGCAGAAUUCAGUGAAUCAUCGAAUCUUUGAACGCACAUUGCGCCCGCUGGUAUUCCGGCGGGCAUGCCUGUUCGAGCGUCAUUUCAACCCUCAAGCCCCCGGGUUUGGUGUUGGGGAUCGGCUCUGCCUUCUGGCGGUGCCGCCCCCGAAAUACAUUGGCGGUCUCGCUGCAGCCUCCAUUGCGUAGUAGCUAACACCUCGCAACUGGAACGCGGCGCGGCCAUGCCGUAAAACCCCAACUUCUGAAUGUUGACCUCGGAUCAGGUAGGAAUACCC